UGCGUAGGGGGCUAGCGUUGUCCGGAAUCAUUGGGCGUAAAGCGCGUGUAGGCGGCCCGGUAAGUCCGCUGUGAAAGUCCAGGGCUCAACCCCUGGGAUGCCGGUGGAUACUGUCGGGCUCGAGUCCGGAAGAGGCGAGUGGAAUUCCUGGUGUAGCGGUGAAGUGCGCAGAUAUCAGGAGGAACACCAAUGGCGAAGGCAGCUCGCUGGGACGUGACUGACGCUGAGACGCGAAAGCGUGGGGGAGCAAACAGG
rnacentral:rRNA from 1 species